rnacentral:rRNA from 1 species
GAUGAACGCUGGCGGCGUGCCUAAUACAUGCAAGUCGAGCGAACAGACGAGGAGCUUGCUCCUCUGACGUUAGCGGCGGACGGGUGAGUAACACGUGGAUAACCUACCUAUAAGACUGGGAUAACUUCGGGAAACCGGAGCUAAUACCGGAUAAUAUAUUGAACCUCAUGGUUCAAUAGUGAAAGACGGUUUUGCUGUCACUUAUAGAUGGAUCCGCGCCGCAUUAGCUAGUUGGUAAGGUAACGGCUUACCAAGGCAACGAUGCGUAGCCGACCUGAGAGGGGGAUCGGCCACACUGGAACUGAGACACGGUCCAGACUCCUACGGGAGGCAGCAGUAGGGAAUCUUCCGCAAUGGGCGAAAGCCUGACGGAGCAACGCCGCGUGAGUGAUGAAGGUCUUCGGAUCGUAAAACUCUGUUAUUAGGGAAGAACAAAUGUGUAAGUAACUAUGCACGUCUUGACGGUACCUAAUCAGAAAGCCACGGCUAACUACGUG